UGGCAGAUGUAGCCAGUCAGGUGCUUCCGGGCUCUGAUCUCACCAUCCAGUCUCAGUUGCUUAUAUAUGUGAAAGCACUCAUCCAAGUGGGAGAUGAGCCUGGUUUUCCAACAAUGAGACAACAUGUUUUUGGGUGGUAUGUCAGCUUCCUGGUGUCUUUAGUUGUGCUUAGCACAUUAUGACCAUCAAUGGGAGGCCUUAGCACAUGGUAAGCAUGAACUCCAAGGCUGUGUUCAGGAGUCCUUGAAAAUAUGAUUCACAGUAAAGUUUUACAGCAUUAUCAGGAAUGUGACAAGAUUGAGGAGUUAGGACCUGGUAAUGUACAGAAAGAAGUCUCAUCUUCCUUUGACCAAGUUAUCAAUAAGGCAAUUUGAGAGAUAAUCACUCAUUUUGCUGCUGUCCUCAUCACAAAUCCCUUCCAUAUUAUCACCGAGGUACAAUUCAUUGGCAGGGAACCCAAGUACUGCAGACUUUGUGACUCCAUAGCAACCAUCUAUCAGGGAGAGGGCAUCCUAGGAUUUCUCAUGGGUCUUGUGCCUCAGCUCCAAGGCGACAUCAUUUCCUUGUGGCUCUGUAACUCACUGGCUUACCUCAUCAAUAUCUAUAUACUUAACAGUGGGGUUUCCACCAUGAAUGAAAUAAAGAAUGAUUCCCAAGUUGUUACAGAAACUUUUGCCAGUAUGUUGAGCUAAUCUCUUGUGUUUGUCCCUAAUUUUAUGUCUGUCAACAGCCGAAGGCUUGCUGGUGGAUCCUUUCCUUAUUGCCCAAUGUACACUUCUUGCAUAGAUUGUUGGUGCAUGCUACAUUACAGGAAAAUAUGAGCUGAGGAAAUAGCUUGCUUUUCUGGAAGGUCCCCUUUGGGAAGACUUAUUAUUGUGACCUGAGAAUGUAA
rnacentral:lncRNA from 1 species